rnacentral:rRNA from 1 species
AUUGAACGCUGGCGGCAUGCCUUACACAUGCAAGUCGAACGGCAGCGGGCCUUCGGGUGCCGGCGAGUGGCGAACGGGUGAGUAAUGCAUCGGAACGUGCCAUUGAGUGGGGGAUAACGUAGCGAAAGUUGCGCUAAUACCGCAUAUUCUGUGAGCAGGAAAGCAGGGGACCGCAAGGCCUUGCGCUCUUUGAGCGGCCGAUGUCAGAUUAGCUAGUUGGCGGGGUAACGGCCCACCAAGGCGACGAUGGCUGGGGGGGUCUGAGAGGAUGGUCCCCCACACUGGUACUGAGACACGGACCAGACUCCUACGGGAGGCAGCAGUGAGGAAUAUUGGUCAAUGGGCGGAAGCCUGAACCAGCCAUGCCGCGUGCAGGACGACGGCCCUACGGGUUGUAAACUGCUUUUCUGCGGGAAGAAUAACCCCCUCGUGAGGGGGGAUGCCGGUACCGCAGGAAUAAGGAUCGGCUAACUCCGUGCCAGCAGCCGCGGUAAAGUCG